AGUGAACGCUGGCGGUAGGCCUAACACAUGCAAGUCGAACGGCAGCACAGUAAGAGCUUGCUCUUACGGGUGGCGAGUGGCGGACGGGUGAGGAAUACAUCGGAAUCUACUUUUUCGUGGGGGAUAACGUAGGGAAACUUACGCUAAUACCGCAUACGACCUACGGGUGAAAGCAGGGGAUCUUCGGACCUUGCGCGAUUGAAUGAGCCGAUGUCGGAGUAGCUAGUUGGCGGGGUAAAGGCCCACCAAGGCGACGAUCGGUAGCUGGUCUGAGAGGAUGACCGGCCACAUUGGGACAGAGAUACGGCCCAGACUCAUAGGGGAGGCAGCAGGGGGGAAUAUUGAACGAUGGGCGGAAGACUGAUGCAGCAAAGCCGCGGGCGGGAUGACGGCCUUCGGGUUGUAAACCGAUUUCGCCGGUGAAGAAGCGUGAGUGAGGGUAAUGGGUAAAGAAGAAACGGCUAACUACGUG
rnacentral:rRNA from 1 species